rnacentral:lncRNA from 10 species
AGUCGGAGGCCCGGCUGCUGGGGGGCACUGGGGCAGGCCUUACCGCCAACCCCGCACCCUCGGCCGGGAGGCUGCAGGUCGGUGGCUAACCCCAGGCGUGUCCCGGGAUGGGACCCGACUCUGCCCUCAGAGACAGGGACAGUCGGGCCAGGCCAACAAACAACCAAAAUCCCAACGUGUGCUGGGCUCACCCGGGACACCAGGGCCGGAGGGAGAGACCCGGGAAGUCACCGAGGCUGCAGGGGAGGCAGCUUUGGCGCUGGGCCUGCGGGAGCCUCUUGUAUAGGAAUUCAUAGCUACCGGGGUUACUGAGGAUGAGUUAGGCUUUGGAACCACAAGUAGAUUUAUUUUCCAAAGAAGAAGAAUAAAAUGGUGCAGGUGAAGAUGCGGAGGAACUGGAUGAGACGCAUAGGAACGCCACUGGGCAGCUCAAAGCGGUGUUCCUGUGAGUUCACCAUGGACCCCUUGAGCCACCGACGCCCCGCCCAGCCUUACACUCAGCAGAAACGCAUACAACAUGUGCUCCAAAAGACAGAAAGACAUGUAGCCGCACAUUCAUAAUUCCUCCAAUUGGGAAGCCUAGCGUCAUCAAGGCAGAUGAAUAUCGUGGAGUAUUCGGGCUUAGGAGCACGACAAACGGAACAGGAGUGAAUGAUCCGCAACUCACAUAACGGGUAAGCAUCCACCAUCCAUGAUGGGCCCUUGACCUCGCCCACUCCACACCGACCCUAGGACUUGGAAGACACAAGGAACUCAUGUGAACACCAUGCUUAAACUGCAGCUAUUAUUUUACUGCAACUAAUAAAGUCCCUGUCUCUGACCCAGGAGUCUCAGAACUGGAGAUUGGCAGUGCCUCUAUUUGAAUGGAGGUCAUCUGACUCCCUUUGUAUCUUGGGUUCUGUUUUUCAAUAAAAA